CUUUGAAAAUUCCUAUUAUUCCAUUAAUUUCUCUUUGGUUGGAAAACCUCAUUCAUCAGGUGGUUCUUCAUCAAUUGUACAGCAAUCUUUAAUAUUACUCCUGUACUGCUUUUCUCUGUUAGUGUCACAAUCCUAAACUCCCGAAUCCUUCUUUUCUUGGUUAGUAUAUCCUUCUGUUGGGGAUCCUAGGAGUUCAAUUAACCAAAACAACAAUCAACAAACAAGAUUCAAGGCAAAAAACAAGAAAAUAAAACCGGAAGAAUACAACCCCUUUUGGCCGAAAUCUGUCCAGCUUUCCUUCCUCGUUUCAGCAGCUUCUUCUUCGAUUUAUGGGUGUUUUUCCAGGCUCAGGAACAGCCCCAUGCUAUGCCAAUUGCCUUCCAAAGAGAGAGGGGAAAAACCAAUGAAGAACCACCACCCUUUGCUAUGAAACCGAGAGCUCCUCUCUACUGCCGGGAGAAAAGAAACUGAGAGCUGCACCUUUGCUGGCUAUGAAAGAGACCGAGAGCUGCUCUUCUCUUAUUUGAAAUGGUAGAGAGUACAUAUGAAGGAGAAGGAAGGAAGACCAUGCCUCUGCCAAAACGUGGGAAGACCUUAUUGUGUCAACCUCACUCCCAUCAAGUCACAACAUUGGGUGGGGUUAGGUGAACCAUAUCCUCACACCUUCAAAAUUUCAAAAUUGCUCGAAUUUUGUAAUAUCACGUUAAUAGAUAGGAUAUUGAUAUGGAGACUCUUGAGAACAUCCAAAAAAAAAUUUCAUUUCGCAUCUUUCUUAUUCUUUUGGAGCAUUUGAGAAAAAGAAUGAGGCACUUAUUUCUCAUUCACCCGCCCAUGUUGAUUAUUCUUGUUUGAUCUCCUCUCAUGAAUCUCCAUCCCAUUCCUUAUAGCAUAGACAUUUUCAUCCUCUGACCUCUUUUGUUUAGGAAAUGGGAUUGAAGUUACAUAUGCUUUUGCUUUUACAUGAGCCAUUGGUAGAUCGUUUUCAGUAUUAUUUCCUCACUUGUUCAUUAGAAUUAGUCACUCAACUACUUGGUAAUGAUCUCAGUGUACAUUCUAAGAGUUGUUGAGAGAUCUGACCAAUUUGCGUUUUCAACUUCUGAUUGAUGCUUG
rnacentral:lncRNA from 1 species